AAAUUAUGCAGAGAAUAUCAGCGUUUGUGUUUUGCUGUCCAACAUAAAUGUCAAAAUCCAUUGCAAAGAACUUUUUUGCUUUUUCCUAGUCAGUGGUAAUGAUGGUACUGCCUUCCUCCUCCUUUUCCCUCAUUUGUCUGCCUCACUGAUUUAUAUUAUUUAGCUUGCAGAGUUCUGUUGAUUAAUCUUAGUUGCUACAGUGCCUAGCACAGUUGGAUCUUGUGGUGCUACUGUAUGACAGCCUUUAUUGUACUAGAACUUCCUAGCAAGGCAGCCACUGGUUUUGAAACUUACUUUUGUUGUUGUUACACCAGAAGCCCAAUUUGGGUUCAUUCACUCAUCUGGUUUUAAGUAAUUUGCACUGCUUUAGAUAUGCCCACGUGCUGCACAUUUUGUAUUUCACUCCAGUCCCCACUGAGUUGCUGACAAUUGCCUUCAAUCAAAGCACUUGUGGAUGUCUCAUACAACCUUUUACUUCCAUUUUUGAAUCUGUACUUUGAUUUCACAUUAAAAGACUUUCUUCAAUAUACAUGUAAGGUAUAUUGAUCCCAGGCUACACAAAAAAUAAGCGGCUAUAUUUUUAUUAAAAGAUAUAACAGUUAUUUGAUUCAGAAAAUGCUAUCUGGGUCAUGAGCUGGGUUAAGUUCUUAUCUGUAGUGUCUUUAACCCUGUGGGGACACCAUGCAGUGAGUCAGAGAAUGAACAAAUCUGAACCCCAGUAAAUGAAGUCCUACAUAGAGAUGUAAACCAAAUAGAGACAGUUACUUGCCCCUCUCGUUUGCUCUCCUCUCACAAUUAAAUGAAAUUCUCACUGUAUCAAGUGAUACUUAUUUCCUAAGCAAUUUAUCACACUCAGUUUCUGUACAGUACUGAUGAUUUCACCUGUUUU
rnacentral:lncRNA from 1 species